rnacentral:rRNA from 1 species
UACGAAGGGGGCUAGCGUUGCUCGGAAUCACUGGGCGUAAAGCGCACGUAGGCGGAUUGUUAAGUCAGGGGUGAAAUCCUGGAGCUCAACUCCAGAACUGCCUUUGAUACUGGCGAUCUCGAGUCCGGGAGAGGUGAGUGGAACUGCGAGUGUAGAGGUGAAAUUCGUAGAUAUUCGCAAGAACACCAGUGGCGAAGGCGGCUCACUGGCCGGUAC